AACGAACGCUGGCGGCAUGCCUAACACAUGCAAGUCGAACGAAGCCUUCGGGCUUAGUGGCGCACGGGUGCGUAACGCGUGGGAAUCUGCCCUUGGGUUCGGAAUAACAGUUAGAAAUGACUGCUAAUACCGAAUGAUGUCUUCGGACCAAAGAUUUAUCGCCCAAGGAUGAGCCCGCGUCGGAUUAGCUAGUUGGUGAGGUAAAGGCUCACCAAGGCGACGAUCCGUAGCUGGUCUGAGAGGAUGAUCAGCCACACUGGGACUGAGACACGGCCCAGACUCCUACGGGAGGCAGCAGUGGGGAAUAUUGGACAAUGGGCGAAAGCCUGAUCCAGCAAUGCCGCGUGAGUGAUGAAGGCCUUAGGGUUGUAAAGCUCUUUACCCGAGAUGAUAAUGACAGUAUCGGGAGAAUAAGCUCCGGCUAACUCCGUGCCAGCAGCCGCGGUAAU
rnacentral:rRNA from 1 species